rnacentral:rRNA from 1 species
CCCUUAGAUGUUCUGGGCUGCACGCGCGCUACACUGAAGCUAUCAACACGUUUUCCCUCCCUGAGAAGGGCGGGUAACCUUUUGAAUCAGCUUCGUGGUAGGGAUCGGGGCUUGCAAUUAUUCCCCGUGAACCAGGAAUUCCUAGUAGACGCGAGUCAUAAGCUCGCAUCGAUUAAGUCCCUGCCCUUUGUACACACCGCCCGUCGCUACUACCGAUUGAACGUUUUAGUGAGGCAUUUGGACCGACGCAUCUCAGUUUAACCGCUGGUUUGUGUUGGAAAGACUUCCAAACUUGAGCGUUUAGAGGAAGUAAAAGUCGUAACA